rnacentral:rRNA from 1 species
UACGUAGGGUGCGAGCGUUGUCCGGAAUUAUUGGGCGUAAAGAGCUUGUAGGCGGUCCGUCGCGUCUGCUGUGAAAAUCCGGGGCUCAACCCCGGACUUGCAGUGGGUACGGGCAGACUAGAGUGUGGUAGGGGAGACUGGAAUUCCUGGUGUAGCGGUGAAAUGCGCAGAUAUCAGGAGGAACACCGAUGGCGAAGGCAGCUCGCUGGGACGUGACUGACGCUGAGACGCGAAAGCGUGGGGAGCAAACAGG